rnacentral:miRNA from 1 species
GCCGUAGAUACCUCGUGUGAGC